CGUUUCGUUGGUUGUUGAAUGGCAUGACUCACCGUAGGUGGAAUUGGACGGCGUGAAUUGUAAUUUAAUUUAUUUUAAUUUGAAAACGUGAAAGCUGAAGUGGUGUACGGUUGGGGAGAAAGGCCGUGGUGGCAUGGUGGUGGUGACAAGAUGAAGCUUCGUGGAACCUUCCAAUUGUGAUCAGAGAAAUGGACAAAAACCUACCUUGGCCUUCAAACAUGUCUAGGUUAGAAAUAAUGGUUAAUACAACCACUCUCAUUCUUUCGAACGUCGUCGUAAGUGGAUGGUGGUGGCUACUUUGCAAUGUCAAGUGCGUGUUUUGGCUUUAUGGAUGCUGUUCUCUACUUCUUCUCCUUAACAACUAAACCAGUACGCAAUGCACCAGUUGUGUUAAGCUCUGCAAAACACAAUCCAUAACAAAACUUAG
rnacentral:lncRNA from 1 species